rnacentral:sRNA from 1 species
AUUGUAUCAUCAUCAGUAGCACCGACUACCUGGUAGCACACACAUUGUAUCAUCAUCAGUAGCACCAACUACCUGGUAGCACACACAUUGUAUCAUCCAUCAUCAGUAGCACCGACUAUCUGGUAACACCUUCAUUGUAUCAUCAGCACUAGCACAAACUAACUGGCGUCACAAACAUUGUAUCAUCAGCAGUAGCACCAACUCUCUGGUAACACCUUCAUUGUAUCAUCAGCAGUAGCACCAACUACCUGGUAGCACUCACAUUGUAUCAUCAUCAGUAGCACCAACUACCUGGUAGCACACACAUUGUAUCAUCAUCAGUAGCACCGACUAUCUGGUAACACCUUCAUUGUAUCAUCAGCACUAGCACAAACUAACAGGCGUCACAAACAUUGUAUCAUCAGCAGUAGCACCAACUCUCUGGUAACACCUUCAUUGUAUCAUCAGCACUAGCACCAACUUACUGGCGUCACAAACAAUGUAUCAUCAUCAGUAGCACCAACUACCCUGUAGCAAACACAUUGUAUCAUCAUCAGUAGCACCAACUACCUGGUAGCACACACAUUGUAUCAUCAUCAGUAGCACCGACUACCUGGUAGCACACACACUGUAUCAUCAUCAGUAGCACAAACUACCUGGUAGCACACACAUUGUAUCAUCAUCAGUAGCACCGACUACCUGGUUGCACACACAUUGCGUCAUCAUCAGUAUCACAAACUACCUGGUAGCACACACAUUGUAUCAUCCAUCAUCAGUAGCACCGACUAUCUGGUAACAACUUCAUUGUAUCAUCAGCACUAGCACAAACUAACUGGCGUCACAAACGUU